GACGAACGCUGGCGGCGCGCCUAACACAUGCAAGUCGAACGAGAGAGAGGGAGCUUGCUUCUUCAAUCGAGUGGCGAACGGGUGAGUAACGCGUGAGGAACCUGCCUCAAAGAGGGGGACAACAGUUGGAAACGACUGCUAAUACCGCAUAAGCCCACAGGUCGGCAUCGACCAGAGGGAAAAGGAGCAAUCCGCUUUGAGAUGGCCUCGCGUCCGAUUAGCUAGUUGGUGAGGUAACGGCCCACCAAGGCAACGAUCGGUAGCCGGACUGAGAGGUUGAACGGCCACAUUGGGACUGAGACACGGCCCAGACUCCUACGGGAGGCAGCAGUGGGGAAUAUUGCACAAUGGGGGAAACCCUGAUGCAGCGACGCCGCGUGGAGGAAGAAGGUCUUCGGAUUGUAAACUCCUGUUGUUGAGGAAGAUAAUGACG
rnacentral:rRNA from 1 species